GCACAGCGCCUGGAAGCCCGGCCAUUAGCGGCCUGUCGGUGACACAGACAAACGACUGAGAGGGAGGAGAUCUAGCUCGCUCUGGAGUUUAAAUAUACCAGCGUGGAGGGGAAACGCCAUGAUUUAAAAGCCCCUGUAAAGGAAGGAAAAGGCGUCAUGAGCCCCGGAACCUGAGAACCCUCAGCCGAACCGGACUCUCGAGGAGCCUUAUAAAAUCCUUUUCUCGCACAAAAAUCUCACCAAGGGGUUUCCGGAAGACUUUGUUGAGGGAGGUUUCGGUAUUGAACUCCAGGCCUGCAGAGCGGCCUGUAAAUUUCCCCCAGCCCAGCCGCUGGCCAGAUCGCGAACAUCCAGGCAGGCACCCCAGGCCGAGUUGAUGAGCCUCUGCGCCCACCUCCGGCUUAGAGCUCCCGAGAUCCCACCUCUUCACCCCUCAUCCCGGGUUUGCACCUCGGCGCCGGGCGCACACUGAGUCGGCCCCCUCCGGGCGCGACCUAAAGCCCGGGGCUAGCCGCGGCCGGAUAGUCCCCGGGGAGUCGAAACCGCCGAGCGGGGAAACCCCUUCUCUCGUCCUUCCCCGAAAAGCCUGGCCGCGGCGUAGGCGCCGAGCGAGCGGGCAUCCGCUGACAGCCGGGCCUCACGUAAGGCCCACACGCGUCCCAUUAGUCAGCCUGAGUUCCCCUCGGGCGAGCCGUCUGGCGCGGCCCCAAGGCCGGGCGCGGGAGGGGACCGGGGUGCGGGGCCGCG
ensembl:lncRNA